AGGUCCUAAUGAAGCCCCGCUCUCCCAGCGCAGAGCCCUUCCAACCCCAGGCUCUUGCAGGGACCAAGCCAGCAUCCUAAACCGCUUGCGCUUGUUCGGGCGGCUCCUCAGAGCAGGUCACCGAGGCACGGUGGAUGGCGGACAGACCUCGGGAAGCGGCCCCGGCUCUUUCCCCGCCAGGCCGGCGAUUCAGCGCUCCCCUAAGCCUGUUAGGGACACACUCUCAUGUCCUGAAAUGUGCAAGCAGAUAAUUGCCGGCGCUCUAUCUUUGUGUGAGGAGGCCAGGGUGUAAAUGGCUUUUAAUGACUGCAGCUGCUGGCUGCAAACUGUCAAUGGGAUCGCCUAAUGCCGAGCCCGGACCCGGCGGGCGCCGCGCCGCAGCCGGGCGGGCACAGCCGCCGGCCCCCGCCGCCAAAGGCGCGCAGCGGGCGCGCAGCGGGUGCGCGGGGCAGCGCGGAGCGGGAGCGCGCAGCGGGCGCGGCCGGCGGCAGCGGGAGCACGCCGGAGGACGGGGCUCGGCGCAGGCUGCCCGCUUGGCUGGGAAAAUCCUUUCCGGAUCCUAGUGAAGACUCUUACAAAGAAAAUUCACUGUAUAAAUAUCCUGCCCAAGAAAGGGAAGUUCAUCCUUACUCCAUCUACAGGAUCUGGGUGCCAAGAGAAACAGGAACCCCUUCGUGCUGGCCAAAGUAA
rnacentral:lncRNA from 1 species